UUUGAAUAGCGAAUACUCUCACAAUGUACAUCAAUAUCAGAUUUUCAAACCUCAUUGUAACAUUUCUGAAAAUAUAUUGUUUACAAAAAUUUAUAAAAACAAAAAAUAGAUGACACUUCUUUCUCUCAUUUGUGAGAAAAAGUCAUAUUUGUAAGAUAUAAACUCAGGAUUGCAAGAUAGGCCUAAACUUGCACUUAAAAAAAGGAAAGAAUUAUGGGUAACACUUUACAGUAAGGUUCAUUAGUUAACAUUAGUUAACUACUUCAGUAAUGAACACUACUUCUAUAAAAACCCAAGACCUUUUCUCAGAUUUUUUUUUUUUAUCAAGAUAUUUUUAAAGAUUCCUGCUGGUUACCAGAGCACUCGUGUAUUGAUUAUUUUCACCAACAGAGAGCGCUGCGAGCUACAUUGAUUGCUUGGUCAUGUGCCGGUGCUUCAUGAAGAACUGAACCUGGACAACAGCAGGGCGCUAUUAUCAUCAAUUCUCAAAAGAGACACCGUUGUCCCUAUCAAGAGACUGAAAUUGAUGGAGACACUUUAAUGAACCUAACUGAGACUAUGAAAGCUUAAAUAUUCCCAAAAAUGAAGGAUUAAGUCAAAUUCAUAAGAUUACAAGAAAACCUAAAGACUGAGAUGCCAGCAAGACCAAACACACCACGAGUAUGAAGCAGGUGCACACAACAAGGUGUCUUCAGCCCUUGUUACCAAAUACCAGUUCUUGAGAGAAAAGACUGGCAGAGGAUGUGCUUAAAACAAAUUCAAGAAAAAAGAAAGAUCACCUUUGAUUAAUGUUGAAGAAAUAAAUGAAAUGUGUUGCAGGUUCAGCAAAGUAAGAAAACAGAUCAUUUUACUAGGAGUCCAUUAAAAUAUGGCAACUAUUGUAGAGAUGGAGGAUCUAUCUGGGCAAGAUUUGUAUCAAAAGGGGCCAAGGUCAGUUGGGGUAAGUGUCACAGAC
rnacentral:lncRNA from 12 species